UCUCGAUCUCCUGACCUCGUGAUCCGCCCGCCUCUGCCUCCCAAAGUGCUGGGAUUACAGGUGUAAGCCAUCACACCUGGCCCUAGUGACAGGUUUUUAUGGGUACUUUUAGAUGAUCUAAGAAAUCAUGUGCAUAUAUCUUUCAGAUUUCUAUUUUGGGAAAAUGAAGGUUUCUACAACAUAUUGUUUCAGUGUUCAAAUAAACUGAAGGACUCAACAUUACAUUUGAACUAUAUCCUUCCUAGUGGGUUAGUGUGAAAAAGAGUUUGGCUGAUUCCUAAAACUCUGCCAGCCCUGCAGUAAUCUCCAGGGCCUGGUUAUUGUUCAGACAUUCCAUGGUGAUUCCUGGGAAGGAAGCUUGGCUGCUCAGUUUCUGAGUCUGGGGUGAGAUAAUGUUCUGGGAAGGGACAUCUGUUCUUUGGUGUAAUCUCUCAUGGUGAAAUCUGCUCUGUACAUCAGACAAUUGCAUUGCUACCAAGUUUCAUACCAAAUAUUUGAAAGGAUGGUAUUGAAUCUAAAACCAAAUAUUAGUUUUUAUUAAACUCAUGGGAAGGCUAAUAUAUUCCAACGUAAAUUAUUACAUAUGGUUAAGUAAUUGCAUGUUAAUUUAUUUUAAUGUAAAUAUUUUUGUUACUGUUCUGAGCCAAAUUCUAAAGAAAAAAUAAAUACAUUUCCUUGUUGAAA
rnacentral:lncRNA from 1 species